rnacentral:lncRNA from 10 species
ACCAAAGCCCAACCAGGAUGCUAACAGCCUCAGAGGAUGAAGCAGCCUCUUGGGAAUCCUGAUACUCCUCACACUGCCUCGCGUGCUAUUUGCCCUGCAGGAUUUCAGUUCACAGAGGUUAGGAGUGGGGCUGACACAUGGUGGGGAUCUGAUAACUGUUUGUCCCUUUGUUGUGGCUGCUGUCCUCCUGCUGUGUUCUGAGAUGAAACACUUGUACCCCAGAAAGACUCAUGGGUCUCCUGUAACCUGACAAGUGCUCCAUGACCUUCCUGGGCUUCUGUCUUCCAACGUGAGAAUCUCAGAGGCUGGGACUGCCAUCUGACAAUAUGUAUCAUCAACCCCGGGCCCAACGCCAGGCUGGGAUUUGGCCAGCUGGCCCUGGGCCUGGGUUGUUCUUUCUUAUCUACUGAGGCUUCGUUGAACUGGCCAACUGAUGAGGCACAGCUGAGGCAGUGAAAUCUUCCCGAGUGAUACAUGUGGCUGUCAGGAUUAUUCACAGUAGUUUGUGUCCCCUGUCCAAGACCCUUCUCCCCAUAGACACCCUUCCAAACCCAGCUCAUGACUAAUAAACCCAUACCCAAAUUGAUCUCACAGC